rnacentral:misc_RNA from 1 species
GAAAAGAGUCGUGAGGGGCAAAGUGCGCCUCGUGGCGAGAGUCGCUGGCAUACACUCCUUUCUUUCUCGUCGCUGGCUCGGCAACUGGGUGGCUGCGCUGCCCCCACCCCCACAAAACACUUGCACACACAUAUUUUGAUAGAGCCUUUCUCCCUUUCACGAGCGUGGAGAUAUGGAUGUCAAGUACGGCGACUGGAAAAAUGCCAGGCCGCGCGCCCAUCUGAUGAUCCUUUUCCUGUUCAUUAUAACCGACCUCAUGAACAUCAUGUGCUACAUCCUGUACCUGUUGCCGUCACGGGAAUACUACGGCGUGUAUGGCUCCAACGCGUACAUUACCUUCAGCUGCAUAGGUGUUUUCAUCUUUGCGGGAGUGAGUGCGCCGCUCAUCUACUGGCCUUAUGCACACGGCAAUGAGAUGUCGCCCGUGUCGCGGCGUAAUGCGCUGUGCCUGGGCAUAAUCAUUUCCUUUCUCGCUCAUGGCUUCCCAAUGGCGUGGCUGGAACUGUGGCUGGUCACUACGUUUGGCUGGACCGAGUUGCUCCAGGCUAUUUCCUUGUUCCUCACCCUUUUGUGCUUCAUCAUCGGCUUCCUCGUCACGUGGGUGGCCUACUCGUGGAAGCUGAGCAAGAUGUUGCAAAUCCGGUACGGCAACGCGGCCCCCAGCCAAUCAGCCGUUCCCUCUGCUCAGCUGGCACGAAGCUCAUCACGCGCCUACCGCAUUUGAGAGAGGGAGAACGCAUGCCACACGCCCCUUAACAAAGGAUGCAGCUUCGCCUUUAGACUAGGGCUGUCUCAUUCCUUUCUUUUUUGCCCCGAUAGUCCUGUGUACUGUCUCUUGCUCUCCUUCACACUCUUCCGCCUUGACUCUUCAAUGGCUGCUCGUCAGAGUGUCUGGUGUUGAACUCCCCUUUUGGGCAGAUGUCUCCUCUCACCCUAGAUGUCGCUAGAUGCGUGCGCGUUUUGUGUUGCUACCCACUGCUGCUCCUCUCGAGGGGCAUCGAGUACAGGAGCUGAGGGCGUGGCUGUGUGUGUGCCUCCGCCCACCCUCUUCUUCAGGGCCCUCUCUGCAUCGUGUGUGUGUCGGUGUGCGCCUCCCCACUUCUCUCUUGCGCACUGUAUCGGCCAUUUACUGCAUUCCAAGAUGGAAACGAUAACAAGAGUCACUGGAGAUCGGAGGAGGAGCAAAGCCGGUCCUCAUUGGACCCUUUUCCCACUCCCCAACAGAGGAGGCUCAGUGCGGCAAGAACUGCAACAAACUCCCUACUGCAUGGCCGCAAUAAAGUGGUUCCAACUCCUUCCCACUGCGGGAAGUGCCGCCUGAGACGCGCUCAUCGCUCGUCUGCGGCUGACUGGCGCUUGCUUUGCAGACUGCGACCAUGGCUCUCUCUUCUCUUAGUUUUCAUGUUCUCUCCCGUCCUCCCCCUCUCCGUCAUCGCUCGCUCUCGUCGUUGUGCUGUUGUUCGCCGUUUUUCUUCUUUGCCUGGAGCUUAG